AGCCGGAGCAAUGGCGGCGCUGCCGUGGAGCUUGACCCGUCGGGGGUGCUGUUCAACAGCUGCCUCGCGUUUGCGUCCACCAGCGGUGGCGAUGGAUCCACCGGUAUCAUCGGCCACGUCCAGCAGCGGACCAUCGAGGUGCUAUACAACGUCGGCGGCAGCGCCGUCGGGUUCCGCCGUCGCGCGUGCUGAGCAGCUAUCAGUCUAUCACCGUUUGAGCUCUUGGGGCAUGUCUAUAGGGCCUUUAACCUAUGGCCGAUAAAAUAAGCCCGUUUGAUUAGUGUUUUGCAUGCUGUAUCUCCCUUUACAUGUAUUUUGUGUGUGAUUUAUUGAUUGUAAAAGCUUAUUGUAUGAAAUGAUGCUUAAGAUCUAUUUUUCUAUUUUGGCAGGGAAAUCAAAAGCUUAUUGUGUGAAAUGAGCUUAUUGUUUGUGGUUUAUUGAUUGUAAAAGCUUAUUGUGUGAAA